rnacentral:pre_miRNA from 1 species
UAUCAGGUGGCCGACGUUUCAGAGGUGCUUAAUCCCUCAUAUCUUAUUGCAGUGAUAAGCAUCUCUGAAACGUCGGUUACCUGUAA